rnacentral:rRNA from 1 species
UACAGAGGGUGCGAGCGUUAAUCGGAAUUACUGGGCGUAAAGGGUGUGUAGGUGGUUAAAGUAAGUCAGGUGUAAAAGCCCCGGGCUCAACCUGGGAAAGUCGCUUGAUACUGCUUAGCUAGAGUACUAUAGAGGAUAGUGGAAUUUCCAGUGUAGCGGUGAAAUGCGUAGAUAUUGGAAGGAACACCAGUGGCGAAGGCGACUAUCUGGAUAGAGACUGACACUGAGACACGAGAGCAUGGGUAGCAAACAGG